AGUCAAUUGUGUAAGAACAUGGAAGUAAUUUGUUUGCUGUUUUUUUUUCUAAGGUGAAGGUGGAGGAGUGGCCUGAACUUCCCAAGGCUGUGUCGGUGGAGGUGGGGGAUUGGCCUGGAGUGCCCAAGGCUGUGGAGGAGGUCCCUGUGGAGCGUCCCCGCAGACGCAUUGUCUUCAAGAAGAGGUGUUCUUCUCAGCAGCAGGGUGCAGCUGCAGAUGUUGUGGAGGUGAUAAGUGGACCAUCACCUGUGACCAUCGAAGACUGUCCCCUUCUGCACAGCUCCCCAGACCUCAUCCAAAGUAAGGUCGCUGCGAAUGUUUAUAUUUUGCCGGUAACGUUUGAUGCUGGGUCUGUUAGUUCAGGUGAAGAGGAGAUCAUAGUGGUCUCUGAUACAGACAGUGAGGGUUCCAUUUCUUUUGGGUGGACUGAUACUUUGCCACUAGCCCAAGGUUCAGGGUCUGUUGGGGCAGGUGUAGAUGAGGUCACAGUGAUCUCUGAUACAGACAGUGAGGGUUCCAUUUCUUUUGGGUGCUUUGAUACUGUGCCUCGAAGUUUUGGGUUGCGUUCUGUGAGGGGAUCUUUUCAUCAGGGGGAUAAGCGU